rnacentral:rRNA from 1 species
ACAUAUACAGGAAUGUUGUAGAGAUACAGCAGCCGCUUGCGGUCUGUAUACAGGUUGCUGCAUGGCUGUCGUCAGCUCGUGCUGUGAAGUGUGGGUUAAGUCCCGCAACGAGCGCAACCCUAUCAUCUGUUGCCAGCAUUUUAAGGUGGGGACUCAGAUGAGACUGCCGGUGACAAACCGGAGGAAGUGGGGACGACGUCAAGUCAUCAUGGCCCUUAUGUCCUGGGCUACACACGUGCUACAAUGGCCGGUACAGAGUGAAGCGAAACCGCGAGGUGAAGCAAAACGCAGAAAGCCGGUCUCAGUACGGAUUGGAGUCUGAAACUCGACUUCAUGAAGUUGGAAUCGCUAGUAAUCGCGCAUCAGCAUGGCGCGGUGAAUACGUUCCCGGGCCUU